GACAGAGGUGCCGAGCGUUAGGCGGAAUCACUGGGCUUAAAGCGUGUGUAGGCGGGCGGGCAAGUACCUUGUGAAAUCCCACGGCUCAACCGUGGAACGGCUGGGUAUACUGCCUGUCUUGAGCCAACUAGGGGCGAGCGGAACAGACGGUGGAGCGGUGAAAUGCGUAGAUAUCGGAAGGAACACCGGUGGCGAAAGCGGCGCGCUGGACCUCUUCUGACGCUGAGGCGCGAAAGCCAGGGGAGCAAACGGG
rnacentral:rRNA from 1 species